UCUGACAUUUUUAAGAAACUUUUUCAAAAUUAUACCCUAUUUUCCCACAUUUCCUUUUUCAUGGAUUUGUAUCAGAUUGUAUCCCCCUUUCUCCCAAU